UCUAACUAUAUAAAAAAUUGCUGGAAGCCAAGGCCAUAUAUUAAUUUUUCUUACAUCUCCACAACCCCCCCCCCCCCCAAGGGGCCCAGGUAUCAUAUACACCGCCAAAAUAAGGAGCCUUCAGUACUAGAAGAAAAGCAGCAUUA
rnacentral:lncRNA from 16 species